UGACCCAAAUGUAUUCUCUUACAGAUCUGGAUAUCAGAAGCCUAAAAUCAAGAUGUCAGAAGAGCUGUUUCCUCUUCCAGCUUCCGAGGAGAAGCCAGUUCCUUACCUUUUUUGACUAGAGACCACUUGUAUUCUCUGGCUGGUGGCCCCUUCCUCACAUCCCUCCAGCCUCUUGUGGGUAGCAGAAAUAUUUAUAACAUUAUCAUGUUUGCUUUCAACGUGCUUUUUCUUAUCCUCUGAUUUAUUUUCUGAGCCAUUGCUCUUUUUUUAUGGACGUCAUAUUGCCAUAAAUCUCUCUUGAGUGUAAUCGUUUGAUUUUAAAAAUCCUGUUUCCUGAAUUUUCUAUUUUCUCCAACUUCCUUCUUUUGCUUAUUUUGGGCUGCAAGUGAUCCUCACCUGCUUCUUUCCCUUUCACUGAAUCUUUGGUUGCCAAUUCCAGGGUCGAUCAUGGACCUAGUUGGUCUAUACAGUACGUGGCUCUGUUUCAGUGUACAGCUCCUCUUCCCAACCGAGCCUCCAGGGGAUGGUAUGACAGGGCCAUGUGAAUCUUGGCCUACGAUGGUGGGAGAUCAGGGACAUCAGGACAACCAGCAGGUUAACCCUCCUCUGUAGUGAGAGAGACACUUGCCCCGUACCAGGAACCCUCGUCCAGACCUUGGACUCAGCAUGCAAGAGCAGGGAACACCAUGAGGGAGCCUGAAAGAACUUCAAUUUGCCUCCUCCGUCUCUGCUCCUCUCCCCACUUCUCCUGUGCCCACACAGGCAGACAGCUCACCACCUCUUCAGGGAUCUGGCAAGAAGAAAGCCUCCCAUCUGGGCAGGUGCCUUCCCUGAGUUUGGACUCCACCUCCCACUUCUAUGAUGGACACAUCAGGAGAACUACUCCAGUUCUCUGUUCUACUGCAGGAUUCCUUCCUCCUGUUUAGCACCCUUUGACUUUAUUAGAGAGAGAAAGGGGAGAAAGAAGUGUGGGAUCCCUCCACCAUUUGAGCUGAAAGUCUACUGACAGGUUUAAAACGGCAUCAAUUCCUUGGUUCUUGGGUGUCCGGAUUUCAGAAGUCCAGUCUCAGCUGGAAUACCUUGUUAUCAAUUUAUAUGAAAGACAAUGAACUUGUGAAAACCGGGCAGGCUGACAGUGAAAUCGGCAUUUGGGCAGUGAAUUAAGGACGGGAGAUGCCCUGCAGCCUCCUUGGCCAGCUCAGGACGGAUUCCUGGUAAAGGUAGACUCUUUUGCUCCCUUCAAGAGUCACCACAUGGCCACCAGAAAAUAGGAAAUGUCAGGCUACAGGAAAAAGAACUGGCAAUCAGCGAGGAGCAGACCUGCAGAGAGCCACUCCAAGGGUCCAUGUUACAAAAUUUUCCUACAAUCUUCACAACCAGCCCAGAGGCCAGCUGCCCUUUAAAUUCUGGAACCUCUUGGAGCUGGAUCCAUCCAUUUGCCCCAGGGACAUUCACUCACAUUCCAUCUGCAAAAGCAGCAGCCUUUCAGUCUCCCUGCUGACUUUAGAGGUGACGUGGCUGAGGGGUGUGUCCUGUCCUCCUGUGCCCCCCUCAGCCCCUGCCAAUCUAAGGCAGUAGCAGAAGGCAAGAUCUGGGAUGUCCUGCCCAUAAAACUGGAGACUGGCCAUCCAUCUAGGUCCUUGUUGAACACUAGAAGGUGGACAGAGACCCUGUGCGUCAAAAGAGGAACAAGCCCUUGGACUCUGGAGCCUUUGCCAGGUGUGAAGGCAGAAUGGGGUGGAGGAGACACACCCUGCCCUUGUCUCCUCUCUUCUGAUCAUUCUCCCUUUUCAGUGGAUUUUAUUUCCAGUCUGUUAAAAUUGCACAAACAACCAACAUAGACUUCCGAUGGACCCUCUGUUUCUUAUUUUGAUAAAGAUACACUUCAUCCUUAGGAAAGCAUAUGCUUUAUUUAGCAUUUAAUACUAUUAGCGGUAGUGAUUUAUAUACUCAGUAAGUAAUCACUAUUCAUCAAUGUUUUUACAAAUCGUCCACCUUCCUAAGAAGUUGCCUUCCCCACUCCAUCGUAUCCAAAUCACUCAUCUGACCUUCGUUAAAGACCUUUGUUGUCUUCAAAUACCACUUGCUUCCCUACAGUAUAUAGGAGCCAUUAUUAGAAUUUGAAGUCCACUUCUGCAUAAACCAUGGACUCUUGGGUAUUAUCCGUUUUUAUCCAAGUUAUCUUUCUGAGAUGCAUACACUUUUUAAAACAUUGUAUAAACGAUGAUAGAGAAAAUGGCCCAGGCACCUUAGGAAGGGUAGGUUGAAAGGAGACCACAUACCACAUGAAGACUGGGUGGUGGCGGCUCAUUUGGGGCUGGUAGAGGAAAUCAAGGGCUCUUUGACUUGUGUCCUUUCAGCAAAAUUUUUUUUGGUGAUCACCCUUCUCCACUAAAAACCAAUGAGAUACAAUUUCAGUGUCUAAACAUUAUAGGCCAUUUUUUUGCUAGUCAUGUAAUAAUGUGAUAAGUUGCAAAAAUUGACCACAAGUUCCUCCUAUCCCUAUCUGUAUGCCCCUUUGCAAUGUGAAGUCUUUUGUUUUUGUACCCCUGGUAUCUAAACUAGAGACCUGCUCUGAUUAGUAGAAUGUGGAAGUUCUUAUCAUAGUCCUCAAGAGGAGUAUGGCUUCUGAUUUUGCUGUAUUGCUGUACUGAGGCUCAGGUGAAAAAAUCCUGAACCAGCCUUCUAGAGAUUUAGAAUACAGGAAGCAGAGAUGGACUGUCACACCUGAGGACCACUAGCUCUCCCUCAGUACAUCCAUGGAUUGCAGCUAUAGAAGUCUCUCAAGUGAAAUGAGCAGAAGAACCACUCUGCUGAGCCCAACUCCAGAAAUGACCCAGAGGAUCAAGUACAAGUAGAAUGGUGGUUGUUUUAAGUUAUUAGGUUCAGGGAGUUGCUUAUUAUAGGUACAGACAACAGGCAAUUAGUGUAUAUAUUCUCUAUUUUCCCAAUAUGGCUUAGCCUGGGCAGGCUAGGUUGUGUUUUAGUAACAAGCAACUCUAAACGUUUGGCAGCUUAGCCUAUCGAAAUUAAUAUCUUAUGCAUUGAUUGUGGCUCACCUGGGGGUUUUAUUCCUCUUUUCUACACUAUGGCAUGUAGGUUGAUAUAACUAGUGUUUCUGGGGCUCUGGCAGAGAAAACAGGCCUCUAAAGAUCAUUUCACUUGCAAUUGAAUUUUCUAUAUUCACGCGACAAACAUCAUUUCUGUGUACAACUUAUUGAUGGAAAGUAGUCCUGUGGCUUCACCCGACAACAGGAGGUCAGGAAACACAGGUCUGAAAUGUAGAGGGCCAGGAGAGGAGGAGGCAGAGGUGGAAGGUCAGGAAGGAGGUGGAGGCAGAGGUGGAGAGCCGGUAUCUUUGAUAACACCAUCAGCAAUGACUGAUAAGUCAAUUCUCUAGGAGGAAAAAUUUUGCAAGUCUGCUAUACAGAAGGAGUGGAGGAAGGUGCAGGCAGUGUACCCCGAGUUGCAUAUCAUCAUAUUUACUGAAUACUGCUUCAUCUUUUACUCAGUAAUGGCAUCCUCAGACUCAACUUUUCCCUUUCUCAGUUUGUUUCUGAGGUGGACAAACCUCUUCGUCCUAAGUGAUUUUGUGUUUCACAGUCAAAAUUAAAUCUGAUGGAACUUGGCGACAUUUCCUAUGCUCUUUUGGAGGAAAAAGAGUCCUUUUUCAGAACUCAUAAGAAGAGAUGAUCUCCUUGAAGAUUUAACUUCAAAAUGAAGAGUGUCCCACCUCUGAAAACAACCAGAAAGC
rnacentral:lncRNA from 1 species